GGGGGCGAAAAUGGUUUCGACGGGGAUCAUGGAGGCCGGAUAAGCGAGCCGAAGACCCGUGCUUCGCUAAAAACGGGAAACUUAAAAAGUAAUCGACAAAGAUUAUUCUUACGCUGUCGCUGCGUAAAUAACGCGCGACCGUCCGCCUGCGAAGACCUAUCGUUGCAGUAACGGGCGUCAUUCAGGAUAGGGUACCAGCCCGCGUAAGCUUUGCCGCGGGUGGGAUUUAUGAAGCUACCGGACCGCCGAUCCUGUCGUUGGGAGCCUCGGGAAGGGAAUUUCAAUACAGCGACUACGCUCGUAGAAAGUCUUGUUGACAGGUUUUCGGACGGGGGUUCGACUCCCCCCGCCUCCACCA
rnacentral:tmRNA from 1 species